ensembl:lncRNA
UUCUGAAUUGCCAUGUUCUCUCUUGAUCUCUCGAAUCCAUUCCAAUCUGUUUUACCCCUACCAUUGCACUGAAACAGUUCUUGCCUUACUUUGCACUUAACUCAGUCAAUUUCUACCCCCUUGAAACAUUUUCUUCCCUUGACUUUAAAUAUCCAAUUUCUCUUGGUUCUUCUCCUGCCUGACUGCCCCCUCAUUCUCAGUCUUUGUUGGUUUCUUUUCCUCUCCAAGAUCUCAGGAUGUUGGUGCAUCCCACGGUUAAAUCCUCAGGACUCUUCUGUAAUUACUUUUCCUCUUGGGAGAUUUUCCUCUGAAAUUGUAUCUGCAUAGCUGACAUCUCCACUUGAAUAAUCCAAUAGUAUCUUAAACUUAAUGUGUCCUUUUAAAACAGAGCUCCUAAAACAAUAUCUGGUUUGCAUUAGACACUCAUUAAUUAAUGUUGACUCAAUGAAUGAUUGCUACUUUAAUCUAUUUUUUAAUGGAGGAAUUUAAAUUUUCUUCUCAUUAGAAAUCUUUCAGGAAGGAUUGGGAGCUGACAGUGUCAAAUGUGUUCAUUGAUAAAAACUUUCCAUGAAAGUUGUCUCUGUGGAAUUUGCAAUGCUGAAUAGAUUCCCCACUAGGGGGUAUGCAUGCACCACAUACAUUUCGAAAACAGUCGUGGUUAAGAAAAAUUGAGUGAUUAAUAAAAUAAAUAAGGGCUCUUGGAUGUAGCUGUUGUCUAAUUUUUCAUUUAUCUUGUUUGGAGGAAACUUUUUAAAGGUUACAUUUAUUUUGUAAAGAGAAUGAAAAUUUUCUAAAUGGAAAGAAUCAAAGAAAAAAUGUACUUAUUUUUAGUAUGUCUAAAUUAAAACAAAACUCACAAUUCACUUUUAGGCUGAAGAAUUACUUUAAAACCUGAAUGAUUCUCGGUUAUAGGCAUUAUUCUACACUCAGUUCAACUGACUAAUGUUUAUUGAACACUUAGUAUAUGGCAGGAGUAAGGAAAUAUCCCUACCUUUGAUAAGUUCACAGUCUAAUGGCGAAGACAGUCAUGGAAAUAUGAAGCAUAAUGCAACAGUAAGUACUAUAAGAAAGAUAAUUUAAAAGUGCUUUAAAAGCCUAGAAAGAAUGAAAUUAACUAUGGCGAGGGGUGCUGUCACUGAGAAGGAGACAUUCAGGUGUCCCAGACUAACUGCUUUUAUCCUAAUUGGGCCUCAAAAAUGUCUGUGUUGAUGGAUUUGAGUCCCUGUCUCUAGCAUGUGUGUUCUCCGUAUUAGCGAUCUGUAGACCCAAUAACGGCCACAGGGUAGUAUCUGGAUAUUUAUAUACAAUAUUCUUAGUACUACACUGUCUAAGCAUUCUGGUUUUCCUAGUCUUUUCUCACCCAAUUCUGGGGGCAAGGGACACCCAGAUAAUUAGUUUAGUUGAGUGAGGAAAUGGGGUACAAAUGUGAGAGACUGAAAAAUUUGGAGAAAUGAAAGAGUAGCCCUGUGGAAGUCCACUGCAGUGGGCAUGGGAGGCCAUCAGACCCCCAGUAGACAUGAUAUCAGCAUGCUUGACUGACUAGUGAGUUGCCAAUGAACCCUAUGGCUUAGGAAGCUUUAUUUGUGCUUCUUAAAGUACAUCUAGGUUGUCAGGGUAUGAUGAUUUAUUGGAAAACAAACUAUCCUAAGCUUAUGUCCUAUGGAGGGAUAUGUGUGGGUUUUCAUAGAUGGGAUUACGCAUACGCAUUUAGAUGAGCUAGAUGAGUACCUAGAGGGAAGAAGGGCUGAUAAAAAGACAGUAACUAUGCUGUAGGACUCCACAGCUCUUCUGCACUCCCCCAGAGCAGUUCUUAGAGCAGGAGAUUGCCAGCUGGAAACCUCAGAAAGCUGUAUUCUCAGGUGCCCUCACUGACAAUUUUAUGAGAAUGCUAUUGUAGGCAAUGAAAGUCUAGAUACGAAUUAGUACUUCUAAAUGCAGUAAUUUUUUAAAUGCAAGGAAUAAAAGGGAUAAAAACUAAAGACACGAUUUGAUUUAGAUGCCAACACUUUACUUACUGUCUCUGGUAUAACUGUCGAAGAGUGGGCAGGCAGCAGGAGGGAAGAAGGAAGCAACACCUUGAUAUGGCUUUUAAACACCAGAAAACUAAGGGCAGAACAAACAACAAAUUUAGAUGAAUAUUUAGAUAUUUUAUGAAUAUUUUGUGAAGCUAUAUCUUUAGCAUUUCUUUGUGAGAAAAUUAUGGAAAAGUAUACACUAGAUUUUGGCAUUUUUAUGAGGACACAAUUAUUUGUUAGUGAAGGUUAAAGGGAAACUGAAAGAAUUCCAGAUUGCUCUGUCAGGAUUUUGGAAUAACACAGCGAUAGAUGAAAUUUAAACUCAACAUAAGCAAAGUAAUGCUGCAGAAGCCGAGAUUUUCAAUAACUAUGUUUAUGCAUUGUGACAGCUUAUAAAUUAAAAACCUAGCAACUCUUAGGAAAUACACUCAGCCAUCACUAGGGAUAAUAUAAUAGAGGUGACUGUUCUAUAAAAAAGGGAGCUUGGACUUGAUGCUAUAUUGACAAUGAAGGAGGAAGUAAUUUAAAAAAUAGUAUUUUAAUGAUUAUUUGCUGUAUUUAUAUGUCACACAAUUUAAAAGUUGUUAUGGAAUAAACACUUGUUUCCUCCGAAAAAUUGGUGUGUUGAAAUCCUGCUCCCCAUUGUGAUGGCAUUAGGUGUGAGAGAGCAUCUCAUUGUGGCUUUGAUUUGCAUUUUCUCUGACGGUUAGGGAUGAUGAGCAUUUUUUCAUGUUUGCUGGCCACCUGUAUGUCUUCUGUUGAGAAGUGUCUGUUCAUGUCCUUUGCCAACUUUUUAAUGGGGUUAUUUGUUUCUUGCUUGUUCCUUCAUUUAAGUUAUAGAUUCUGAACAUUAGGCCUUUGUCAGAUGGGAGAGGGGAGAUGAUUCAGGAGAUGACUAAGUCAUGAGGGCAGAACCCUCCUGAAUGGGAUUAGUACCCUCAUAAAAGGGACCCCAGGCCAGGCGUGGUGGCUCACGCCUGUAAUCCCAGCACUUUGGGAGGCUGAGGCAGGUGGAUCACUUGAGGUCAAGAGUUUGAGGCCAGCCUGGCCAACAUGGUGAAACCUGGUCCCUACUAAAAACAAUACAAAAAUUAGGCAGGUGUGGUGGCAUGUGCCUGUAAUCCCAGCUACUUGGGAAGCUGAGGCAGGAGAAUCGCUUGAACCUGGGAGGUGGAGGUUGCAGUGAGCCAAGAUCGCGCCACUGCACUCCAGCCUGGGUGACAGAGCAAGACCCUGUCUCAAAAAAAAAAAAAAGAGACCCAGAGAGCUCUCUUACCCCCUUUGCCAGGUGAGGACACAGCAAGAUGGCUGUCUAUAAGCCAGGAAAUUGUCCCUCACCAGACGCUGAAUUUAGUGUUGCCUUGAUCUUGGUAAAUGUUUGUUGUUAAGCCACCCAGGCUAUGAUGUUUUUGUUAUGGCAUCCCAAAGGGACUGAAACAAGACAAAAGCAAAAACUAGAAGCUGUUGUGAAAUAUAAAUGGGCUACGUGCGAGCUGGUAAGAGUGUAGGUGGUAAAUCAUGUUGACUAGAGGUUUAA